rnacentral:rRNA from 1 species
UACAGAGGUCUCAAGCGUUGUUCGGAUUCAUUGGGCGUAAAGGGUGCGUAGGCGGCGCGGUAAGUCGGGUGUGAAAUUUCGGAGCUUAACUCCGAAACUGCAUUCGAUACUGCCGUGCUUGAGGACUGGAGAGGAGACUGGAAUUUACGGUGUAGCAGUGAAAUGCGUAGAGAUCAUGAGGAAGACCAGUGGCGAAGGCGGGUCUCUGGACAGUUCCUGACACUGAGGCACGAAGGCCAGGGGAGCAAACGGG